rnacentral:rRNA from 1 species
CCUACGGGGGGCAGCAGUGGGGAAUAUUGCACAAUGGGGGAAACCCUGAUGCAGCGACGCCGCGUGAGCGAUGAAGUAUUUCGGUAUGUAAAGCUCUAUCAGCAGGGAAGAAACUGACGGUACCUGACUAAGAAGCACCGGCUAAAUACGUGCCAGCAGCCGCGGUAAUACGUAUGGUGCAAGCGUUAUCCGGAUUUACUGGGUGUAAAGGGAGCGUAGACGGACUUGCAAGUCUGAAGUGAAAGCCCGGGGCUCAACCCCGGGACUGCUUUGGAAACUGUAGGUCUAGAGUGCUGGAGAGGUAAGUGGAAUUCCUAGUGUAGCGGUGAAAUGCGUAGAUAUUAGGAGGAACACCAGUGGCGAAGGCGGCUUACUGGACAGUAACUGACGUUGAGGCUCGAAAGCGUGGGGAGCAAACAGGAUUAGAUACCCGGGUAGUC